UCCUCCAAAGCCUCUGAUCUGUCAGCAGUAAGCUGACUUUCCAAGUUACAAGGCCAUUCUCAGCACACACUGACAACAUGCUGGGGACCCUCUGCACUCUCAUCACUGCUCUAACAUGUGUGAGUGGUGUGACGGUGGUGACACAGAAGCCUCCUGUUGUGACGCUGAGGAAAGGAGAGACAGCCACCAUGGACUGUAACCUGGGGACUGUGACUGAUAAAGCAGUCUGGUAUAAACAGAUUCCAGGAGGAGUUCCUCAGUAUGUGCUGAGGUUUUAUCACAGCUGGAGCUCUGUUAGAUAUGGCUCUGGUUUCUCCACUCCAAAGUUCACAUCUAAUCAUCAGUCAACAACAGAUUAUCGUUUGAUCAUCAACAAUGUGGAGGAGGGAGACUCAGCAGUCUAUCACUGUCACACAUGGGACAGCUCUGUCAACGAGUACGUAUCACACUGGUUGCUUGGUGGGAGUCCAGUGAGCAGUGGGAUCUCUACCAGCACCGCUGUUCAGCAAGCAGACCAGACGUUCCAAAUCAGCAGCUAUCUGGCCGUCCAGACGUCAGACUGGAACAUGGAUAAGGUUUACACAUGUAAAGUGUCUUUGGGCUCCCAGACUGCAGAGAAAAACAUCAACAAGUCCCACUGUCCCACUGAAGAACAGUAGAGGAGCACAAUGAGCAUUUAACAUCUGCUUCUUUACUCUUUGUGCUGUUUGCUCAUUACAAGGUUUACAUGGUAGAAAAGAUGUGUCUGCAUGCUUGUAAUAAAUGUUGUGACAGUUAGGUGGAGGUGUUGUAUCAGCUUUGCAAAUGCUGCAGUUUUCAACAAUCAUUCAAUAAAAUAAGACAAAAAAACAGUUGAAAAA